rnacentral:tRNA from 1 species
UCUCUCUUAGGUCAGUUGGUAGAGCGCAUCACUAGUAUGUGCCACAAGAGUCGACUGAUGACGAGGUCAGUCGUUCAAGUCGGCUAGAGGGAA